CAGCCGCCGCGGGAAUACGGAGGGGGCUAGCGUUGUUCGGAAUUACUGGGCGUAAAGCGCACGUAGGCGGCUUGGUAAGUUAGAGGUGAAAGCCUGGAGCUCAACUCCAGAAUUGCCUUUAAGACUGCCGAGCUAGCAGGUGAGAGAGGUAAGUGGAAUUCCCGGUGUAGCGGUGAAAUGCGUAGAGAUCGGGAGGAACAUCAGUGGCGAAGGCGGCCAUCUGGGACAACACUGACGCUGAGGCACGAAAGCGUGGGGAGCAAACAGGAUUAGAUACCCCGGUAGUCCCUGUCUCUUAUAC
rnacentral:rRNA from 1 species